GGCGCACGGGUGAGUAACGCGUGGGUAACCUACCCUGGAGUGGGGUAUAACUCGCCGAAAGGCGGGCUAAUCCCGCAUACGUCCGGCAGACCCAAGUCUGUCGGAGAAAGAUGGCCUCUGCUUGCAAGCUAUUGCUCUUGGAUGGGCCCGCGUUAGAUUAGCUAGUUGGUGAGGUAACUGCUCACCAAGGCUACGAUCUAUAGCUGGUUUGAGAGGACGACCAGCCACACUGGAACUGAGACACGGUCCAGACUCCUACGGGAGGCAGCAGUGAGGAAUAUUGCGCAAUGGGGGAAACCCUGACGCAGCGACGCCGCGUGAGUGAUGAAGGCCUUCGGGUUGUAAAGCUCUGUCAGAGGGAAAGAAAGGGGAUGCGGAAUAAUACCCGCAGCCAUUGACGGUACCCUCGGAGGAAGCACCGGCUAACUCCGUGCCAGCAGCCGCGGUAAUACGGAGGGUGCAAGUGUUAUUCGGAAUCACUGGGCGUAAAGAGCACGUAGGCGGAUGGGUAAGUCA
rnacentral:rRNA from 1 species